AAAUUGGCUUGAUCGAAGACCAUGUUAUGAUCUCAAAAAUAUAUGUGGUUCAAAAGUAAGCCAAAAGCAAUUUUUGUUACGACGGUCACCGAAUAUCUUAAUUUUUUUGAUACUUUGGUAACAUUUACGUGCAAUUACAAGA